CCUACGGGAGGCUGCAGUGAGGAAUAUUGGUCAAUGGGCUUACGCCUGAACCAGCCAAGUCGCGUGAGGUAAGACUGCCCUAUGGGUUGUAAACCUCUUUUGUCAGGGAGCAAUUGGCGCUACGUGUAGCGUUAUCGAGAGUACCGGAAGAAAAAGCAUCGGCUAACUCCGUGCCAGCAGCCGCGGUAACACGGGGGAUGCGAGAGUUAUCCGGUUGUAUUGGGUUUAAAGGGUGCGUAGGCGGACCUACAGGCCGGCGGUAAAAUUGCGGGGCUCAACCCGGCCGAGCCGUCGGAACCGGGGGCCUUGAGUACCGGAGAAGUACGCGGAAUGCGUGGUGUAGCGGUGAAAUGCAUAGAGAUCACGCAGAACCCCGAUUGCGAAGGCAGCGUACCGGCCGGUCACUGACGCUGAGGCACGAAAGCGCGGGUAUCGAACAGGAUUAGAUACCCUAGUAGUC
rnacentral:rRNA from 1 species